rnacentral:rRNA from 1 species
UACGUAGGGGGCAAGCGUUGUCCGGAUUUAUUGGGCGUAAAGAGCGUGUAGGCGGCUAGGUAGGUCCGUUGUGAAACUCGAGGCUCAACCUCGAGACGCCGGUGGAAACCAUCUAGCUAGAGUCCGGAAGAGGAGAGUGGAAUUCCGUGGUGUAGCGGUGAAAUGCGCAGAUAUCAGGAAGAACACCCGUGGCGAAGGCGGCUCUCUGGUACGUGACUGACGCUGAGACGCGAAAGCGUGGGGAGCGAACAGG